UAUUUUACAGCACAGUAUAGAGUUGAGUUUUCUUUAAACUCUCUCAAUGGCACACAAAAGGAAGAUCAGAAGCUGCAUCCUAAUGUAAACAUAUCUGCUGGCGAUGCCGUCUGGACAAGACGCUCUCUCGUGCGGCAGAAGAGAUUUCACCAACGGCUCAUCCUCCUAUGAGCUGAGUGACCGUCGAGACCCGACCUGCCACACGCACUGGAGCGCUGACGAUAUAGUUGUGGUUGAUGAGACAGGAGGGGUGGACAAGACCAGAGUUCAACAUGCAGGAUCCCAGACCCUCAUUCUGAGAGGAAAACACACUCUUGUUAUUUUCCAGAUGGACUGUGCUUCA